rnacentral:rRNA from 1 species
UACGAGGGGGGCGAGCGUUGUCCGGAAUUAUUGGGCGUAAAGGGCUCGUAGGCGGUUUGUCACGUCGGGAGUGAAAACCCAGGGCUCAACCCUGGGCCUGCUUCCGAUACGGGCAGACUAGAGGUAUGCAGGGGAGAACGGAAUUCCUGGUGUAGCGGUGAAAUGCGCAGAUAUCAGGAGGAACACCGGUGGCGAAGGCGGUUCUCUGGGCAUUACCUGACGCUGAGGAGCGAAAGUGUGGGGAGCGAACAGG